rnacentral:tRNA from 1 species
GUUAAUGUAGCUUAAAUAUUUAUAAAGCAAAACACUGAAAAUGUUUAGAUGGGUUUAAUUAACCCCAUUGACA